UACGGGGGGGGCAAGCGUUGUUCGGAAUUACUGGGCGUAAAGGGCUCGUAGGCGGCCAACUAAGUCGGACGUGAAAUCCCUCGGCUUAACCGGGGAACUGCGUCCGAUACUGGUUGGCUUGAGUUUGGGAGAGGGAUGCGGAAUUCCAGGUGUAGCGGUGAAAUGCGUAGAUAUCGGGAGGAACACCAGUGGCGAAGGCGGCUUCCUGGACCUGAUCUGACGCUGAGGAGCGAAAGCGUGGGGAGCGAUCCGG
rnacentral:rRNA from 1 species